rnacentral:misc_RNA from 1 species
UUUCGUAGGUGAACCUGCGGAGGAUCAUUAAAAAUUGGGUGACUGUAAUUUAGGUUAACCCAUUAAUAUAUCCUACCUUUGUGAAUUUGUUUGUUAUGUAAAAUUUUUGUCUAUCCUAAAGAAAGGUUGGAUAAGUGUAAUAGCUUAAAAACUUUUUUUAGGAAUGGCUUAAAGACUUUAUUUAAAAUUAAACUUUUGUAUUCAUUGUCUAAAAUUAAAUUUUUAAAUAAAUAAUUUAAAAACAACUUUUGACAAUGGAUCUCUUGGUUCUCGCACGAUGAAGAACGCAGCAAAAUGCGAUAAGUAAUGUGAAUGCAGAAUACGUGAAUCAUCAAAUCUUCGAACGCAUAUUGCACUUUUUAGUUUACUAAAAAGUAUGUCUGUUUGAGUAUCAGUAAAUAUUCUCAUAAAUCAUUUGAUUUAUGUUAUGAGUGUUUUACACGAUAAACAAGUUGUUUCACUUUAAAUGGAUUUAAUUGAAUCGUCGGUUGGAACGAUUUAAUUUUUUUAAAAAUUGGAUAAAAUUUCCCGUAAAAGGAAUAAAGCUAUUUCAGUUUUUAGAAUUUAAUAGUUUCCAUACGGUACAGUUAAAGAAAUUUAUUAUAAAUAACUUGAUCUCAAAUCAGAUAAGAGUACCGCUGAACUUAAGCAUAUCAAUAAGCGGAGGAAAGAACUAACAAGGAUUCCUUAGUAACGGCGAGUGAAGCGGAAGAGCUCAAUUUGAAAUCUUCAAGGUUCUACCUUGACGAAUUGUAGUUUAAAGAAGUGUUUCUGUUAGAGGAGUGGCAAAAGUUCUUUGGAAUAGGACAUCAUAGAGGUGAGAAUCCGUAUUUGUCAUUCUUUCUAGCUGUGUGAUACACUUCAAAGAGUCGAUUGUUUGGAAUGCAGUCCAAAAUGGUGGUAAUUUCAUCUAAAGCUAAAUAUUGGCGAGAGACCGAUAGCGAACAAGUACCGUGAGGGAAAGAUGAAAAGAACUUGAAAGAGAGUUAAACAGUACGUGAAAUUGUCAAAGGGAAGCGUUUGACACCAGUGUGUUUUUCCGAAAUCAAUUGUGCUGGCUGGAUUUGUAGGAGUUUGACCUUAUCAGCUUCUUCUGCUUUUUCCGGUCUGGUGCAAUGCACUUUUCGGUUAACAGUCAACAUCAAUUUCUUUUGUUGUAAAAGGUAAUUGGAAGGUGGCUUUCUUUUCGGAGAAAGUGUUAUAGCCUUUUACCUCUACAAUCGGAGAGAUUGAGUCUGCAGCGUAGAUCUUCGGGGUUAGAUACAUUUGUGCUAAGUUAUAGCCCUGUAUAGACAACUUGUGACUAUACUCGUCAUGUAGCUUACUCGCUUAUGCUAUUUACCUACGCUUAGGAUGU